rnacentral:tRNA from 1 species
GGGAUAAUAGCUCAGUGGUAGAGCACAUGCUUAGCAUGCAUGAGGUCCUGGGUUCAAUUCCCAGUACCUCCA